rnacentral:rRNA from 1 species
GCUCAGGACGAACGCUGGCGGCGUGCCUAAUACAUGCAAGUCGAGCGGGGUURWUUAGAAGCUUGCUUCUAAWYAACCUAGCGGCGGACGGGUGAGUAACACGUAGGCAACCUGCCCACAAGACAGGGAUAACUACCGGAAACGGUAGCUAAUACCCGAUACAUCCUUUUCCUGCAUGGGAGAAGGAGGAAAGACGGAGCAAUCUGUCACUUGUGGAUGGGCCUGCGGCGCAUUAGCUAGUUGGUGGGGUAAAGGCCUACCAAGGCGACGAUGCGUAGCCGACCUGAGAGGGUGAUCGGCCACACUGGGACUGAGACACGGCCCAGACUCCUACGGGAGGCAGCAGUAGGGAAUCUUCCGCAAUGGGCGAAAGCCUGACGGAGCAACGCCGCGUGAGUGAUGAAGGUUUUCGGAUCGUAAAGCUCUGUUGCCAGGGAAGAACGUCUUGUAGAGUAACUGCUACAAGAGU